UGCGCCUGUGAUGGAUGAAGCAUAUCCAUUUAUGAUUUGCGGGAGCAGGUCUUAAAGGCUUUGCAGGCGGCAUGGGUAUGUUCAGUCUGGUAGAAUGAAGCACGCUUUCAUUCCUUCAA
rnacentral:sRNA from 1 species